GGUUUGAAGAUGAUCUACUAUAAGAAAGCAAUGGUCUGGUUUGUUGGUUUGGCUUCCUGGGUUAUGUGCUGUGCUUGCUGGUUGUAGUUUGAAGAGUGUCGUUCUUGCUUGGUCCUUGGUCUAGGAGUGUGCUCUGUGCGAAAAGAGGACCUCUCAUACUUUAGCUGUCUCGCAUCUCUAGGAUUCACUUCUACAUUCCGGC
rnacentral:misc_RNA from 1 species